rnacentral:lncRNA from 1 species
UAUUAAGGAUUCCUUAUGCUUUUGGAGGAACGAAAGGAAAGAAGUGUGGAGGUGGAAGAACUCUUGUUCUACUCUGGAGGGAACCAGGGACUAACAUGUCCUGAAUCAAAAACAGGAGUCUGGAAGAAGUGAAAAAAUGAUGGAAUGAGGGGCAGGCUACUGGAACCCACCAGAGAAUCAGAAGAAUGUCUUAAUUAAAGGUUUGAAGCAGAGAGUAAGACAAGAGCAUUGUAUUCCAGAACAACACAAAUUGGAGUGAGAAAUCAAAUGGCAUCGUGCAGGAUGAAGCAACAGACUGGAUCCAGGAUAUCCCUGCUCUGUUACAGACUCCACCACUUAAUAGCUACAUGAUUAUGAGUAAGUCACUCAAUGCCAUUGAACAUCUCUUUCUUCAUGUACAAACUGGGGGUUGUAUUAUUUGCCUUGAUUUUCUUACAAUUCUGCUGAGAGUUAAGACAAGAAGUAAAAUUUUGUACAAAGUAUAAUGAUCUAUACAAAUAAAAGACGUUUCUACAAGUGCU